ACGCUGGCGGCGUGGAUUAGGCAUGCAAGUCGAGCGACGGUUUCCUUCGGGAGAGAUGACGGAGCGGCGAACGGGUGAGUAACACGUGAACAACCUGCCCUUACAUUCCGGAUAAUUGGGAGAAAUCCCUUGUAAUACGGGUGAGGAUGGUCUUACGGCAUCGUAGGAUCAGGGAACACGCAAGUGGUAUGGGGAGGGGUUCGCGACCUAUCAGGUAGUUGGUGUGGUAACGGCGCACCAAGCCUACGACGGGUAGCUGGUCUGAGAGGAUGGUCAGCCACAUUGGAACUGAGACACUGUCCAGACUCCUACGGGAGGCUGCAGUCGAGAAUCUUGGGCAAUGCACGAAAGUGUGACCCAGCGACGCCGCGUGAAGGAUGAAGGCCCUCUGGGUUGUAAACUUCUUUUAAGGGGAAAGAAUAGCUUCGGCUUUGAAGGUACCCGGUGAAUAAGCCACGGCUAACUACGUGCCAGCAGCCGCGGUAAUACGUAGGUGGCAAGCGUUGUCCGGAUUUACUGGGCGUAAAGCGAACGCAGGCGGAGGGUUAAGUAAGAAGUGAAAGGUUGGAGCUCAACUCUAACACUGCUCCCUAUACUGGGGGUCUUGAGUGCCGGAGAGGAAGACGGAACGACACGUGUAGCGGUGAAAUGCGUUGAUAUGUGUCGGAACACCAAUGGCGAAGGCAGCUCUCUGGACAAGUACUGACGCUGAGGUGCGAAAGCGUGGGGAGCGAACAGGAUUAGAUACCCUGGUAGUCUUGGCCAUAAACGAUGUUCACUAGGUGUCGGGGAUUUUUCUUCGGUGCCGCAGCUAACGCAUUAAGUGAACCGCCUGGGGACUACGGUCGCAAGAUUAAAACUCAAAGGAAUUGGCGGGGGCCCGCACAAGCGGUGGAGCAUGUGGCUUAAUUCGAUGCAACGCGAAGAACCUUACCAGGGCUUGACAUGCAGCGAAUCCUCUUGAAAGAGAUGGGUGCCUUCGGGAACGCGGGCACAGGUGGUGCAUGGCUGUCGUCAGCUCGUGUCGUGAGAUGUUGGGUUAAGUCCCGCAACGAGCGCAACCCUCACGUUCUGUUGCCAGCGGAUAAUGCCGGGGACUCGGACGAACUGCCUCUGUAAAGAGGAGGAAGGUGGGGAUGACGUCAAGUCAUCAUGCCCCUUACGCCCUGGGCGACACAUAUAGAAAAAGGGGAG
rnacentral:rRNA from 1 species